rnacentral:lncRNA from 1 species
GAGAGAUCGUGGCUAGUGUGGAUCCAAGGAAUAAAAACAUUGUUAAUGGCGACGAAUCAGCUAAUCCUGUAAUGUAACAGAUGAAUCAGAAACGAAACGUCAUGAAGAAGACCGACAUAGAGACUCCACACGUAUAUUUGAUUUCAAGGAGUUUUCAGAAUGAAAGGACUUAAUCAAACCAAAACAACCGAAUCGUCAAUCUCUCUAAUGGCUGAUUUAGAAGAUUGUGGUGGAACCUUGAACCACGUCUCUAAUGGCGGAUAUGGAUGACUAUGGUGUAACCCUAACUCACGAAACGAUGCCGAUCAUGAACAUUAGUGAUUAACAAAUUGGGCCGGCUUUCUAGAAAGACAAUAUGAGGCACAGACUUAAAAGAGAAAAAGACAAAAAUAGCACUAAAUCGAGUUUUUGUUCCCAAACUAGCAUUCAAGUUCAAAAGUCACAAAAAAAUAUAGCACUUAAUGUUUUAUCAAAAGUCACAAACUUAGGGUUUAGAGUUAAAGGUUGGGGUUUAGGAUUUAGGGUUUAGGGUUUAGGGUUUAGAGUUUAGGGUUUAGGGUUUAAAUUUUAGGGUUUAGGGUUUUGGGUUUAGGGUUUAGAGUUUAGGGUUUAGGGUUUAGGGUUUAGGGUUUAGGGUUUAGAGUUUAGGGUUUAGAGUUGAGAAAUGAGGUUUUGGGGAUUAGAUUUCAAAUUUUGAAAAAUAAAAAAAAUUCAAAUUUUCAAAGGAUAAACGUAGAAAUGUGCUAUUUUGGUCAUUUUAGUUUUUGAGUGCUAUUUUUGUGAUAUAAACUUAGAAAAGUGCUAUUUUGGAGAUUUGCCCAACUUAAAACACCGAAACACAUAAAAAGCGCCG